CAGCCGCCGCGGUAAAACCAGCACCUCAAGUGGUCAGGAUGAUUAUUGGGCCUAAAGCAUCCGUAGCCGGCUCUGUAAGUUUUCGGUUAAAUCUGUACGCUUAACGUACAGGCUGCCGGGAAUACUGCAGAGCUAGGGAGUGGGAGAGGUCAGCGGUAUUCUGGGGGUAGGGGCGAAAUCCUUUGAUCCCCGGAGGACCACCAGUGGCGAAGGCUGCUGUCUAGAACACGUCUGACGGUCAGGGACGAAAGCUGGGGUAGCGAACCGGAUUAGAUACCCGGGUAGUCCCAGCCGUAAACGAUGCAGGCUAGGUGUUGGGUUGGCCACGCGCCAGCUCAGUGCCGCAGGGAAGCCGUUAAGCAUGCCGCCUGGGAAGUACGAUUGCAAGGUUGAAACUUAAAGGAAUUGGCGGGGGAGCAC
rnacentral:rRNA from 2 species